GUCAGUGUUUGCUGCGUAUAAUAAAAUAUUUUCUAGAGCAUCGCGGCUCUGAUUUUUCUUUUUCCAUCGUGAAAGUAGAGUCUUAACAAUUGUUCGCCGUAAAUUAUUCACGGUCGCGUUACUAUUUUUAUUUUUAAUUUUUUUUUAAUUGCUCGAUAUAUUCGGGAUUAGAGUCAAAGCACCACUGAAGAGGAGUUUUGGGCGUUGCUCCAUAAGGAAAGAGUAUGAAUUUUUUGAUUGCCGAGUUCCUGGAUAUCCUGAUGAUGGCUUUCUUCACGACUUCCGUCUUGAUGAAUUUCUUCACGACUUCAGUCCUACAAGGCAGCCUCCUACCUGGUGUUGUCCAUCCUCCUACUUGACUGUCGGAAGAAGAGUAUAUCUGCGAACGGUGAGUCGCAUGUUUUAUGGUUCCUCUGGUGCCCAAUCAUGUCGUAGGACGAAUGGUCCGAAUCGACACGGGCUACUAGUUGUAUA